rnacentral:lncRNA from 1 species
GACCCGUCUUGCCCUCUCGGAUCACUGCAGUAACAUCACUCACUGCUCCUGGAGUGACCCUACUAACUGGAAACUGGAAAAAGCACAGAGCAACAAAUAAGAUUUUGGAAUUGAAGAAGCCAUCCUGCACAGACGCCUUAGUGCUCCACCGUGAUCCAAACCCAGAGGCUAAAGCUGAGGAUGGGCCUUUUAUAGUCAGUAUGGACGAGGACAACUCGCUCCAAGACAAGCGGCCAGUUGCAUCUACGCCUAUACCUGGAUCACCAUGGUAACUUCCCGUUUUGUCUGCACAGAUAUG